rnacentral:rRNA from 1 species
AGCGAACGCUGGCGGCAGGCUUAACACAUGCAAGUCGAGCGGGCAUCUUCGGAUGUCAGCGGCAGACGGGUGAGUAACACGUGGGAACGUACCCUUCGGUUCGGAACAACUCUGGGAAACUGGAGCUAAUACCGGAUACGCCCUUAUGGGGAAAGGUUUACUGCCGAAGGAUCGGGCCGCGUCUGAGUAGCUAGUUGGUGGGGUAACGGCCUACCAAGGCGACGAGCAGUAGCUGGGCUGAGAGGAUGAUUCGCCACACCGGCACUGGGACACGGCCCAGACUCCUACGGGAGGCAGCAGCGGGGAAUAUUGGACAAUGGGCGCAAGCCUGAUCCAGCCAUGCCGCGUGAGUGAUGAAGGCCUUAGGGUUGUAAAGCUCUUUUGUCCGGGACGAUAAUGACGGUACCGGAAGAAUAAGCCCCGGCUAACUUCGUG